AUACUCAGGUCACAGCUGCCCUUCUGAGAGCCUCCAACCCGCGACGUCUAGGGGCGAAAAGGGACUGUCGCUCUGGCAGAUGACAAGACCCAAGGACCUGGAGGAGCCACACAACUGAAAGGGAUGAGGUUCCUGAAUCACUACACGGAGGGAAGCGCCCACUGAUUAGAAACAUCUGCCUGUUUCAUAAGGAUAAGUAAAGAGGGAAUGGAUGCCACAUGGUGCAGCUGCCUAAAAGCUAAGAAGGGGUCAUGGGGUAACAGGAAAUGCCAAAGAAAAACAAUAAUUGGAUUUGAGAGGUGUCCCUAAACACCAGCUGCUGUGUUCUGUGUAAAAGACACUCAA
rnacentral:lncRNA from 1 species